rnacentral:rRNA from 1 species
AUUGAACGCUGGCGGCAGGCCUAACACAUGCAAGUCGAACGAGUGGCGGACGGGUGAGUAAUGUCUGGGAAACUGCCCGAUGGAGGGGGGUAACUACUGGAAACGGUAGCUAAUACCGCCUACCAUCGGAUGUGCCCAGAUGGGAUUAGCUAGUAGGGGGGGUAACGGCUCACCAAGGCGACGAUCCCUAGCUGGUCUGAGAGGAGGACCAGCCACACUGGAACUGAGCCACGGCCCAGACUCCUAGGGGAGGCAGCAGUGGGGAAUUUUGCACAAUGGGCGCAAGCCUGAUGCAGCCAUGCCGCGGGUAUGAAGCAGGCCUUCGGGUUGUAAAGUACUUUCAGCGAGGAGGCGUUACUCGCAGAAGAAGCACCGGCUAACUCCGUGCCAGCAGCCGCGGUAAUAC